ACCUGGCUAGCUCAACUGGUAGAGCAUGCAACUCUUGAUCUCAGGUCAUGAGUUCAAGCCCCAUGUUGGGUA
rnacentral:tRNA from 1 species